rnacentral:tRNA from 1 species
UUAAAAGACAGUAGUUAAAYUCUACUAUUAAGGG